rnacentral:rRNA from 1 species
UACAGAGGUCCCAAGCGUUGUUCGGAUUCACUGGGCGUAAAGGGUGCGUAGGCGGUUGGGUACGUCUGACGUGAAAUCUCCGGGCCUAACCCGGAAACUGCGUUGGAUACUAUCCAGCUAGAGGAAUGGAGGGGAGACUGGAAUACUUGGUGUAGCAGUGAAAUGCGUAGAUAUCAAGUGGAACACCAGUGGCGAAGGCGAGUCUCUGGACAUUUCCUGACGCUGAGGCACGAAAGCCAGGGGAGCAAACGGG